rnacentral:rRNA from 1 species
AAAUAAUUUGUAUUAAAUUUAAUUUAUAUUUUAAAUUAAUUUAUAAGGUUAAAUUUUAAUAUAUAAAUUUUUAUAAAAUAAUUAAUUAAAUAAAUUAAUUUUUUUUAAUUUUAAUUAAUAAAAUUAAUAAAUGAAAGAAAUUUUUAUUUUGUAAAAUUUUAUAAUUAUUGAAUAAUUGAGUGCCAGCCUUUGCGGUUAAACUUAAAAAUAUAAAAUUAAUUAAUUUAAUAAAAAUAUAUUAAAAAUUUUAUAAUUUUAAAAAUAUAUAAAGAUUUAAAAUUGAUUAGUAAAAUAAAAAAUUUUAAUAAAAAUAAAUUAUAUUAUAAAAAUAAUAAUUAAAUUAAUUUUAAAUGAUUUUAUAGAAUAAAUUAGGAUUAGAUACCCUAUUAUUUAAAUUUAAAUUUAUUAUUAAUAAAUUAAAUUUUAAUAAUUAAAUUAGUAAAUUUGGCGGUAUUUAAUAUUAUUCAGGGGAAUUUGUUGAAUAAUUGAUUUUCCACAAUAAAAUAAACUUUAUUAUAUUAAAAUUUAUAUAUUUUUGUUUAGAAAAAUUUUUAUAAAAAUAAUUUUAAAAUUUUUUAUUUAAUAAUUAUUCAAAUCAAUAUGUAGUUAAUAAUUAAGAUCUAAUGAAUUACAAUAAAUUUAUAAUUUAUUAAUUAAAAAUUUUAAUAAUUUUUAAAAAAUAGGAUUUGAAAGUAAAUUUUAUUAAUUAAUAAAAUUGAUUAAAAAUUUUAAAUAUGUACAAAUUGCCCGUCAAUUUAGUUGAAGUUAAAAUUAAAUAAGUCGUAACAAAGUAAAUAUACUGGAAAGUGUAUUUAGAAUAAA